GGGGCUGUAGCCUAGUGGUCAGAGCAUCAGACUCAGGACUUGAAGUCGGGGGUUCGAUUCCGAUCCCA
rnacentral:tRNA from 1 species